AUGAGCCACCCAGGGAUCCCGCAUUACAGUUUAUUUUAAUGAAACACUAAAUUAUACUCUGUUAAACAAUGAAAACCCUGGAGCAAAUGUUGAGCUGGCUGGACACCAAGAUGAGAGUUAUAUAUAUACUGGAACUGUCCUAGACAAACUGGGACCAAAUAAAAUCACCCUAUUAAUAGUAGAUGCUUAUUUGAUAAGUCUACAAAACACUUGGCAACAUUCACUCACUAGAGGCAGGCAAUUAGCACAGGCCUUGAGUCCAGGAAUUUAAUAAGUUGGUGACUAUAAUUUGGGAACAGUAAUGCUGAGAGUUACAGAAGAAAAAGAAAAGAUUAAGGUCAUUAUUCACUGUUUAGAUGUUUAAGGGCUUUUUCCUUGAAAAUACAUUAUUCUUUUUUAAGGUUAGAUAAAAUGGAUUGCUUAAAUUAGGGGUCUGAGUAUGAUCCAGAAUUAUGGGUAAUUUCAUAUAUCUGUGUACAGCUAAUUAAAAAUUUACAUAAUUAGAUUUGCUAGUAAGCAUUUAGAUUUAUCAGUGAUAAGCACACUAAGUA